UAUUUUAUUUAAAGUAGACAACCCAGUAUAUUCAAUAUGGGGUAUGUCCAAUGUUUUUUAAUAGCCACUUAGUCACACACACUGGCCCAAGCUAGCAUUUAUAUUUGUUUUUGUGUUAAAAAUGCAAUAAAACAAUUAUGUAAGCUAACUUUGGCCAGUGUUUGUGACUAAGUGGCUACUAAAAAAAGAGUGAACAUAUCCAAUUGCAAUACCUUGGGUUGACUUCUUUUGCAAAUGGUAUU